AUGGAGGGGGUGGGAUAUGGGGUGUGGGGUACAGGGUGAGGGGCAUGAGAUAUGGGGUGUGGGAUAUGGGCUGCGAGAUAUGAGACGGGGGGUGUGGGAUAUGGGGCGUGGGGUGCGCGAUGUGGGGGGUGGGGGUUGGGAUAUGGGGUGUGAGGGGUUUGGGCUAUGGGGUGCGAGCUUAUGGGGCGUGGGAUGUGGCUUGUGGGCUGUAAAGUAUGAGAACAUCGAGCACGGGAACGAAACGUAGAGCACACAGCGUAACACGCGCUCCGCUCGCUGUCCCGUUACCCGCUCCCGCUGCGGUCGGGUCGUGACGCCGCAGUUCUGCGGCACUUCGGGCCUCGGCUCUGCCAGCGCCUCGAGACGCGGAUGCGGCAGCACCGCGUGGGUGGGUGGGGCCGGAAGUGGGCGGGGACCAGGAAGUGGGCGGGGCCGGAAGUGGGUGGGACUCGGAAGCGUGGGUGUCACAUGGCUGGGUGGGAGCAGAGGGUGGGCGUGGCUUAAGAGAUGGGUGGGCGGUGCUUAUGGGGUGGGUGUGGCUUAUGGGGUGGGUGGGCGUGGCUUGGGAAGUGGGCGGAGCCUAUGGGUGGGGUGGACCUAUGGGUGAGUGGGUUUGUUGGGGGAGGCGGGGUUUAGGGAGUGGGUGGGGCUUAUGGGAGUGGGCGGAGCUUAAGGAGUGAGUGCUAAUCUGCGUAUCAUUUGUGUACCUGUCACUGCGUGUAAGUUUGCAUGCUGAUUUGCAUAUUCAUUUCCCUUUUAAUUACCGCAGAACAAGGGCUCCCCCCGAGCCCCCCCGCUCCCGCUCCCCAGGCCCCGCCCCCCGCCGCGGCUCCGCCCACCGUGAGUGCCCCACCCUCAUUGGAUGACACCCAUCGGGGGGGUGGGGCUUAGCGAGGACACGCCCCCAAUGAGCACCUAUGCCAACAGGAGCAGUACAAGCCCCGCCCCCACUCUGCCCCUCACUCCCUAUUGGUCGCUCUGCUCAAGGGGUGACCCCGAGGAGCUGGAGCUGCGCCCGGGGCACUUUGAGGUGGUGCUGUGCGCCGACGUCACCGAGGGCAGCGGGUGGGUCACGGCCCUAUGGGGCGACCCACAGCCCUAUGGGGCGACCCACAUCCCUAUGGGGCGACCCACACCCCUAUGGGGCGACCCACAUCCCUAUGUUGUGACCCUAUCGCUAUGGGGUGAACUACAUCCCCAUGGGGCGACCCACAUCCCCCUGGGGCGACCCACAUCCCCCUGGGGCGACCCACAUCCCUAUGGGCUGACCCACAUCCCUAUGGGGCGACCCACAUCCCUAUGGGGCAACUCACAUCCCUAUGGGCUGACUCACAUCAUUAUGGGGCGACCCACAGCCCUAUGGGGCGACCCCACAUCCCCAUGGGCUGACCCACAUCCCCCUGGGGCGACCCACAUCCCUAUGGGGCAACUCACAUCCCUAUGGGCUGACUCACAUCAUUAUGGGGCGACCCACAUCCCCAUGAGGUGACCCUGUUCCCGAGGGGUGACCCACAUCCCCAUGGGCUGACCCACAUCCCUAUGGGUGACCCGCAUCCCCAUACUGUGAUCCUGUCUCUAUGGGGUGACCCACAACCCCAUGGGCUGACCCACAUCCCCAUGGGGCGACCCAUAUCCCCAUGGGCUGACCCACAUUCCUAUGGGGCAACCCACAUCCCCAUUGGUGACCCACAUCCCUAUGGGGUGACCCACAUCCGCAUGCUGUGAUCCUGUCCCUAUGGGGUGACCCAUGGUCCUAUGGGGCGAUCCAUAUCUCUACGGCGUGACCUUAUUCCUAUGAGGUGACCCACAAUCCUAUGGGGUGAGGCUGUUUCUAUGGGGUGGCACAUGUCCCUAUGGGGUGAGCCUGUUCCUAUGGGGUGACUCAUUCCCUCAGAAUCCCCCUAUUGCUAUGGGGUGGCACACGUUUCUAUGGGGUGACCCAUAUCCCUAUGGGGUGGCAAUUUUCCUUAUGGGGCGACCCAUAUCCCUAUGGGGUGGCCCUUUUCCCUAUGGGGCGACCCAUAUCCCUAUGGGGUGGCCUUUUUCCCUAUGGGGUGGCCCUUUUCCCUAUGGGGUG
rnacentral:lncRNA from 1 species